AGACAUUUUCUCAAAUGCAAAGGGAAUCCAGUGAUGUUUGUGCAAAGGAAGCCCCUGGGCUCAUGAAGUUACCCACAGAUGGAACUCAGCUGGGCCUUGCAAGUUUCAAUUGAGUGCAACAUUUUUUAUAGCCAUUGUAGUUUGGUUGUGUAGAAAAACUUCUCUGUUCUUUCAUAGAAUUGCUUUGAGGCCAAGGAUUGCCAGCAUUCUCCUCUUCAGCCUAGUGAAUCAAUCGCAUUCCUCAAUAAGGCUCGAUAUCGAUUGCAAUUGUACUGUCUAGAAUAAAGUGAAGAAGAGACUCAGAUGAAGGAUGAGAAGGUUAUUUAUUGAUGAUGAGUUCUACGAAGGGAGGGAGGGAGGCUUAAGAGGAGGAGAAAGAAGAACAUUGUGCUUAUCUUUCUAGAGUUCUUCCUAUUAUAAUCAGCUACGAAGAACAACUUCAACAACACAAGAAACCUUCAUAAGCACAGUCCACCUAAUACCAGAAUCACACUUGGCAAACAGGAAAACUACAUUACCCAUUGCAGUUCAUGCUUAAGCAAGAUGAGUAAUCUGAGUUGUAGGUGUGUCAAUCAUUUCUUUCCAAAUAUACACCAAAGCUCAUAAUGUGGAGAUGAAAACUGCAGAUCCUCCUAUGAAUCAUGCACCGGAGAAGAAAAGUUUACUAGCCCAGAAUUGCAAAGCCCUUCAUCAAUAUUUCCAUGCCUAGAUUAUUUGUUUUUCCCCUUUUAUUUAAUGUUUGGAUUCUUGAAAUUUUGAAACAAUCUAAUCACUAUUGUCAUAAAGGAUAUUAAGAUCCCAAGAAAACUAUGACCUUAAAUUCUUAUAUGGAGACUGAGGUUGAGAGAGAAGAAGAAAGGGAUUGGACUGAAUUGAAGAUGGUAGAUAGCCAUACAUAUCUACCACUAUCACCGGGAACCAACUCUUUUCUUUCAUCAAAAGAAACUCUAUGUCAGAAGCAGCUAAACCAGUUUCGUCUGUUCUACGUCAAUCAUUUACUGCUGGCAGUUUCAAGUGCAAGAUCCUUACCCAUCCGCUAAGCAUAUUGAAGGUGUUGGCCAAAUCCUUAAACACAAAAUACGCAUUUUCGACCAAUUUCUCAAUUAUCACACAAUGUUAUACGAGUUGGCAAACCUAAAGAUCAGAUUAAAAUGCAGCACAGUAAAUAAUUAACCAGAUUCAAGCAACAACGAAUUCAAAGACCACGUACCAAGAAAGUUUCUCAUCAAGAAUCGAUUGUUCUACCGAAAAAGAAGCAGCAACGAAUUCAAAGAUCACAAGUUCUCAUCAAGAAUCGAUUGGUCUAGCGAAAAAGACGAAAGAAAGGGAUCAAAGGGACGUGCACGCAAUCCAAGAUCGCAGACCAAGAAUGAACUCAUGAAAUUUGCCGCAGGAACUCAAUCGCUGAAUCAAAGAUCGGAAGGGUCACAUUAAGAACCGACUCUUCCGGCGAAAACGAAACAGAAGAGAGAAAUGGAUACAAGGAAUCGAAGGGACAGAACUCGAUCAACGAAUCGAAGCUUACAGACCAAGAAAAUCUUCAACGAGAAUCGAAAAUGAAUGGAACCGAUCAAAUAUACCUUGGGUUUCCUCAACUCACCUGUUUUCCGAUCCACAUGGGGAAGACACUUCGAAGGAGGCUAAGAAAGACCAGAGAAAGGAA
rnacentral:lncRNA from 1 species